rnacentral:lncRNA from 1 species
GUAAUAGCAUUUCUAGAAUGUUUGAUUAAAUAUGAACAAGAACAUUAAGUAAAGAAAAGUAGUUGAUUAUUCAUCUGUACUUAUUUAUUUAACGACAUAAACAAAAUAAGUACGAAUAAACAUCUUGAGGAAGCAAAAGCACAUUUGAAAGAACCGAAAGACGUCUAGAUAAACUCAUAUAUCACUUCCCAUUAACCCUACC